rnacentral:rRNA from 1 species
GUGCCAGCGCCGCGGUAAUACGGAGGAUGCAAGCGUUAUCCGGAUUUAUUGGGUUUAAAGGGUGCGCAGGCGGACCGGUAAGUCAGGGGUGAAACUUUACAGCUUAACUGUAAACGUGCCUUUGAUACUGUCGGACUAGAGUUUAAGAGACGUAAUUGGAAUGUGAUGUGUAGCGGUGAAAUGCUUAGAUAUAUCACAGAACGCCGAUCGUGAAGACAGAUUACGAACUUAAUACUGACGCUCAUGCACGAAAGCGUGGGGAUCAAACAGG